UAGUCUGAAAGCUGCAGGUAGCCU
rnacentral:piRNA from 1 species